UCGAGAGACUCUCGUUCUGCCUAAGGUAAUCUUUCUUACACGACUACACCUACCGGCAAGGGCGAUUAAUUCACAGAAAGAAAGAACCACACAUGCUGUGGCCGUAAACAAAGCAAAUUUGAAGGAAGAACGCACAGUAACAAUGGGGAAAAUUCCAGCAUUCCUCAGAUCAUCAACAAUUCCAGUUAGUCAAAUCAUCAAAACCCCUCAAUCUCAAUCUCACCAAUCCUCUAAAUCUUUCCCUCCUUCCAAUUUCAUCCAAAAUAGAAAACCCAAAUCUGUGAAACCCCUAAAACCCUCCUUAAACCCUAAUUCUUCAUCUCCUCCUCUUGUUCCAAUUACUUUCCCAAAUCUUUCUGAAGCAAAAUCGUUCAUCAAUUCUCUUAUUUCAAAUCCUAACAUCCCUCUUGACAUUCAAUUUUACAACUCCAUUAUUCAUUCUUUUUCCUCCAUUGCUACUUUAGAUGACGCCUUUUCUCUCUUCACCCAUAUGCUUAAAACUCUCCCUUCUUUUUCCCCUGAUCGUUCCACUUUUCACAUUUUGAUUACUCAUUCUUGCAUUUCAAAAACACAUGAUUCCGUUCUUACUGGUGUUAGCCGAGCGGUUGAUUACAUGGCAUCUCAGGGGUUUCCACCUGAUCCUGUUACUGUGGAUAUUGCUGUUCGGGGGAUUUGUCUUUCCAGGCACGAGGAUGCUGCUGCUAAACUUGUUACUGAAUUGCACGAUAAGUAUUCUGUUACCCCGGAUAAUUAUACUUUUAAUUUUUUAGUUAAGCAUUUGUGUAAGAAUAGGUCAAUGAGUAUGGUUUAUGGGGUGAUUGAUGAAUUGGAAAAGUUAGUUGGGUUGAAACCUGAUUUGAUUACUUAUACUAUAUUGAUUGAUAAUGUGUGUAAUAAUAAGAAUCUUCGUGAGGCGACUCGGUUAUUGAGUGAACUUAAUGAGAAGGGGUUUAAGCCUGAUUGCUAUGUUUAUAAUACUAUUAUGAAAGGUUAUUGCAGUUUGAAUCUUGGUAAUGAAAUGAUCAAGGUGUUUAAGACAAUGAAAGAGGUUGGAGUUGAACCUGAUCUUUAUAGUUAUAAUACAGUGAUUUUUGGUUUGUCGAAAUCAGGGAGAGUUAAGGAUGCUAGGAAAUAUUUGGAUGUUAUGGCGGAAAUGGGUCAUUUCCCUGACGCGGUUACGUACACUUCUUUGAUGAAUGGAAUGUGUAGAGAAGGUGACGCACUAGGGGCUUUGAGAUUGCUCGGUGAGAUGGAAGCUAAACGGUGUAGCCCCAACGAGUGCACCUACAAUACUUUGCUUCAUGGAUUGUGUAAAUCGAGGUUGUUGGACAAAGGGAAAGAGUUGUUUGAAACGAUGAAAGAGGGAGGUGUGAAGCUUGAGUCAGCUUCUUAUGCUACAUUUUUGCGAGCAUUGUGCAGAGAAGGCAGAGUUGCGGAAGCUUAUGAGGUUUUUGAUUAUGCUGUUGAGAGUAAAAGUGUCACUGAUGUCUCUGCCUACUCUACAUUGGAAAGUACUCUAAAAUGGUUGAAGAAAGCUAGGGAACAAGGGCUUUCUGUUUGUUGAGGUCUUGGGGGUAAUCGGUGGUUGGAGUUGGACAAUGAGUGGUCAUGUCUUAGCAUUCUGUUAUUAAAUGGCUGCUCAGUUUCUGCAAUAGAGCUAUAGUUAGAGCUGCAUGGUUUGCAAAUAUGGAUAAUCUACAUGAUUCAUGAAUGGACAAACAAGGAUCUAUAAUAAUCCUUUGUGGAAUAUUUAUAUACCUACAUGCUACCUGUACUUCAAAGGGCCUCCUAGGUUGUGUUCCAUGACAUAGUUUGUUCUUUAAGGACACUAGAUGCACUAAAAUGAUUAUGGUUCUACAUGUAGUCAUCUGUGUUCUUUGGUGGACUGCUCAGCUAUAUGGUAAUGCUAUAAGGCAAUUCUUUACUUAACCGAUUCUGACAUGGGUCAUCAGCAUAUUUGGGCUAAUGAAGUUGGGAGAAACAGAAGCAAGUAGCAGCCAUUUUAUGGACACUUUAUAUUGCAAACAAGUUUUUCUGACAGUUUUCAUUGGUUUACAUCCAGCGCCGAUCUGCCAAGGUUUUCCUAUUUAUCCCUUUCAUAAAAUUUAUUUAUUAUAUGUAAUACUAUCUCCUUAGAUUGAAUUUUCCUUGUUGUGGAAGUUUUUUUUUUUUAUUUAUUUAUUUUUUUUUUUAUAUUUUUUUUAUAGCUGAAUGUAACGAAAUACUCAUCUGUCUCAAUAAAAUUGUACGUCUAUGUGGUGCGAUCUUUUUUUGGACCCUUGCUUUGUUGGGGCGAUGUGUGCGUUAAGCUUCCCUUUGUGUGAGUAUUCUUUAGGGUUAAUGUAGCAAUUUAAGAGGGACGAAUGAGUACAUACUUGUUGGUAGCAAGUUUUAUUAUAUCGCAUUAUUGCAUAUGGAUAUCAGUUAUUACUCAUUAUUCAUAGAUUAUGGGUCAAGAGCAUAAUUAAACGUGAUUUUGCCAAUUUCAUAAAACCUUCUUGUUGAUUAACUAUUAGAUUAAGACCCUGAUAAUUUGAUUCUCGUACUAUCGUCUUAUUUUUUGAAUUAAUCAGAAUUGACACUUCAUUUUUCUUAAGACUAAAAUACUCCUAAUCUCAUAUUGUUGUCUUAUCAAGUUAACGAAGAUUUUAACCCAAGAUUCAUUGAGUAUAGAUUUAACUAUAGAACCAUACUUCUAUGAACAAUUUCACAAUGACAUCAAUCCAUAAUUAUUGAGAUCCCUCUACCUUAGAUUAAGUAACUAGUCACUAAUAAACUAACAAAUGACAAAGAUAAAGGAUUGAAAUGAUAUAAAAUUAAAGAACAUAAAUUCAGAAAUUAUAUUAAGAAAGAGUAAGGAAAAGAAUAAAGAAUGACAUUAAAUUGAAAACUUACAUGAAAAUAAAAUUGAAGGAAUGAGUCUUGAAAUAAAUCUUGAAAUAAAACUAAGAUUUAAAGUACUUUAGCGGAGAAUAAUGGCAUGAAAGAAAAUAAACUCUGAACUAAAACGAAAGGAAAGUAAAAUGCAGAAGAAAAAUUAGACUACGAAAUAGCCUUUUUAUUUUAUACAAUUUUAUGCCUUAAUUAAAAUAAACUAACAUUAAGAAAAAUAUAAAA